rnacentral:rRNA from 1 species
UGCUUAAAAGCUAGCCUAAUCACCAAGAACAACAACUUAAUAUACUAACCUUAAAAGACUAGAAAAUAUAUUAAAACAAACCAUUUUUCCACCUAAGUAUAGGAGAUAGAAAAGGACCCCAGAGCUAUAGAUAAAGUACCGCAAGGGAACGCUGAAAGAGAAAUGAAACAACCCAGAAUAAGCCCCAGAAAGCAGAGAUUAACCCUCGUACCUUUUGCAUCAUGUUCUAGCCAGAAAAAAUCAAGCAAAACGCACUGUAGUUUGAUACCCCGAAACUAAGCGAGCUACUCCGAGGCAGCCCAUGAAGGGGCACACCCGUCUCUGUGGCAAAAGAGUGGGAAGACCUCCGAGUAGAAGUGACAGACUAACCGAGCUUAGUUAUAGCUGGUUGCUUAAAAAAUGAAUAGAAGUUCAGCCUCCUGGCUUUUCCCCUCCCAAAUGUUAACUUUAUUUGACCCAAAGAAGCCAUGAGAGUUAGUCAAAGAAGGUACAGCUUCUUUGAACAAGAGACAACUUUCCAAGCAGGGUAAAGAUCAUAAUAACCAAGGCACUAUACUUAGGUGGGCCUAAAAGCAGCCACCCCUUUAGAAAGCGUUAAAGCUCAAGUAUAACCCAAGCUCAUUAUUCUGAUAAUCUAAUCUUAACCCCCUAAUUAUAUUAAGCCCUCCUAUAUUAACAUAGGAAUGACCAUGCUAGUAUGAGUAAUAAGAGAAUAUACUAUUCUCUCCCGGCAUGUGUGUACGUCGGAACGGACUAACCACCGACUAUUAACGCCCCCAACCCAAGAGGGCAUUGAGUAACUAAUAAACCCAACUAGAAAAACACUCAAAAAUUAACGUUAACCCCACACUGGUAUGCCCGCUAGGAAAGACCAAACAAAAAGGAAGGAACUCGGCAAACAAAAACCUCGCCUGUUUACCAAAAACAUCGCCUCUUGCAAAAAUAAAGAAUAAGAGGUCCUGCCUGCCCUGUGAUUAUAAAUUUAACGGCCGCGGUAUUUUGACCGUGCGAAGGUAGCGCAAUCACUUGUCUCUUAAAUAGAGACCCGUAUGAAAGGCAAGACGAGGGUUUAACUGUCUCCCUUUUUGAGUCAAUGAAAUUGAUCUCCCCGUGCAGAAGCGGAGAUGAAAACAUUAGACGAGAAGACCCUAUGGAGCUUUAGACACUAAAGCAGCUCACGUUAAGCAUACUUGAUUAAAAGAUUAAACUAAUUGCAAUCUGCCCUAAUGUCUUCGGUUGGGGCGACCACGGGGAAAAACAAAACCCCCACGAGGAACGGAAGCACAAUCCUCCCAAACUAAGAGUUACAACUCUAAGAAUCAGAAUUUCUGACUAAUCUGAUCCGGCGAAGCCGAUUAACGAACCAAGUUACCCUAGGGAUAACAGCGCAAUCCCCUUUUAGAGUCCAUAUCGACAAGGGGGUUUACGACCUCGAUGUUGGAUCAGGACAUCCUAAUGGUGCAGCCGCUAUUAAGGGUUCGUUUGUUCAACGAUUAAAGUCCUACGUGAUCUGAGUUCAGACCGGAGUAAUCCAGGUCAGUUUCUAUCUAUGAAAUAACCUUUUUCCAGUACGAAAGGACCGAAAAAUGGGUGCCCCUGCUUAAAGUACGCCCCACCCUCACCUACUUAAUCCAACUAAAGUAGCUAAGAGGAUAUACACCCACAUGCCUAAGAAAAUGGCCU